GGCAACUUUCAAGGUCUCAACUUAAGCCAUGACCCAGGCAUAGCUCCAUGGGGCUGACAGAACUAAUAGGAGACUCUGGAAAAGAUAUUUGAUAAAUAUUUGUUAAUGAACACGCAAAGCUUAAUUAUCUGCAACAGCACCCAUGGUGAGAAAAGGAAGUUGUCAUGAUGGUACAAGAAGAAAUAACCACCCCCAAAGUCCUGGAAAAGUUUUAACAAAAGUGGCAGUCAGGAGAAAUGGAAGGAGCAUGUCUGAGAAAGAUUAAAACUGGUAUCAGAUGGCCGAAUAGGAACAGCUCCAGUCUACAGCUCCCAGCGUGAGCAACGCAGAAGAUGGGUGAUUUCUGCAUUUCCAACUGAGGUACCAGGUUCAUCUCACUGGGGAGUGUUGGAAAGUGGGUGCAGGACAGUGGGUGCGGUGCACCGAACGUGAGCCAAAGCAGGGCGAGGCAUUGCCUCACCCGGGUAGCGCAAGGGGUCAGGGAAUUCCCUUUCCUAGUCAAAGAAAGUGGUGACAGAUGGCACCUGGAAAAUUGGGUCACUCCCACCUUAAUACUGCACUUUUCCAACAGUCUUAGCAAACGGCACACCAGGAGAUUAUAUCCCGCACAUGGCUCGGAGGGUCCUACACCCAAGGAGCCUCGCUCAUUGCUAGCACAGCAGUCUGAGAUCAAACUGCAAGGCGGCAGCGCAGCUUGGGGAGGGGCGCCCGCCAUUGCCAAGGCUUGAGUAGGUAAACAAAGCAGCCGGGAAGCUCGAACUGGGUGGAGCCCACUGCAGCUCAAGGAGGCCUGCCUGCCUGCCUCUGCAGACUCCACCUCUGGGGGCAGGGCAUAGCCAAACAAAAGGCAGCAGAAUCCUCUGCAGACUUAAAUGUCCCUGUCUGACAGCUUUGAAGAGAGUAGUGGUUCUCCCAGCACGCAGCUGGAGAUCUGAGAAUGGACAGACUGCCUCCUCAAGUGGGUACCUGACCCCCGAGUAGCCUAACUGGGAGGCACUCCCCAGUGGGGGCAGACUGACACCUCACAUGGCCGGGUACUCCUCUGAGACAAAACUUCCACAGGAACGAUCAGGCAGCAACAUUUGCUGUUCACCAAUAUCUGCUGUUCUGCAGCCUCCACUGCUGAUACCCAGGAAAACAGGGUCUGGAGUGGACUUCCAGCAAACUCCAACAGACCUGCAGCUGAGGGUCCUGACUGUUAGAAGGAAAACUAACAAAUAGAAAGGACAUCCACACCAAAACCUCAUCUGCAUGUCACCAUCAUCAAAGACCAAAGGUAGAUAAAACCCCAAAGAUGGGGAAAAAACAGAGCAGAAAAACUGGAAACUCUAAAAAUCAGAGUGCUCUCCUCCUCCAAAGGAACGCAGCUCCUCACCAGCAAUGGAACAAAGCUGGACGGAGAAUGACUUUGACUAGCUGAGAGAAGAAGGCUUCAGAUGAUCAAACUACUCCAAGCUAAAGGAGGAAGUUCGAACCCAUGGCAAAGAAUUUAAAAACCUUGAAAAAAAAUUAGACAAAUGGCUAACGAGAAUAACCAAUGCAGAGAAGUCCUUAAAGGACCUGAUGGAGCUGAAAACCAAGGUACGAGAACUACGUGACAAAUGCACAAGCCUCGUAGCCGAUUCGAUCAACUGGAAGAAAGGGUAUCAGUGAUGGAAGAUGAAAUGAAAUGAAGCGAGAAGAGAAGUUU